GCCCAGGCGCGAAAACUUUGCAAUACACGAAAGUGUGACAGGGCUAUCCCGAGUGCCAUCCGCUGAGGAAGGCUUUUACCCAGUCUAGAACGCUGGGGGAAUAAGGAGAGGGCAAGUCUGGUGUCAGCCGCCGCGGUAAUACCAGCUCUCCGAGUGGUGUGGAUGUUUAUUGGGCCUAAAGCAUCCGUAGCUGGCUAAGUUAGUCCCUUGUUAAAUCCACCGAAUUAAUCGUUGGGUUGCGGGGGAUACUGCUUGGCUAGGGGACGAGAGAGGCAGACGGUAUUUCCGGGGUAGGGGUGAAAUCCUAUAAUCCCGGGAAGACCACCAGUGGCGAAGGCUGUCUGCUAGAACGCGCCCGACGGUGAGGGAUGAAAGCUGGGGGAGCGAACCGGAUUAGAUACCCGGGUAGUCCCAGCUGUAAACGAUGCAGGCUAGGUGUUUGGACGGCCACGUGCCGUUCUAGUGCCGCAGGGAAGCUGUUAAGCCUGCCGCCUGGGGAGUACGAUCGCAAGAUUGAAACUUAAAGGAAUUGGCGGGGGAGCAC
rnacentral:rRNA from 1 species